CUACGGACUUGAUUGUAUUGAGCCUUGGUAUGGAAACCUGCUAAGUGGCAACUUCCAAAUUUAGAGAAACCCUGGAAUUAAAAAACGGGCAAUCCUGAGCCAAAUCCAUGUUUUGAGAAAACAAGCGGCUCAGGUCGAGGCUACCACUCGGCCCUCAGACGGAUCAAAGAAGAGUGGGGAACCUCUCGCUGGUUUUUGGAAUUCGACAUCAGGAAGUGUUUUCACAGUCCAGGUUGGUUGGUGAGCCUAGUGAUAGUAGACUAUCUAGCUUGGUUCGGAGAGCACUUGUUGGGUUUAAGAUUAGUAUUUUGCUAAAUGUUACGG
rfam:Oryza glumipatula chromosome 10, whole genome shotgun sequence.